CUGGAUUCGUGCAACGUCCUGAGCUUUUACAUCACACAUCAUGCCGAUCUGGAUGGUGCUGUUGGAUCUUCAUCCGACUCUUUAGUCACAGCCACCAGAGGAACCUCACACAGGAAGAUGACAUUUCUCCUGAUUCCUCUUGAAUGAAAAGAUCCUCCAGAUCCUGCACUGACAUCUCCAACCCAUGCUCUGCAAAGGUGUGAUCGAGGAAAGCGUGGACACAUUCCUCAAGUGCAGGAACACGAGCUGUCUUCAGGACGGUGACGUCAUCUGAUCCACUGAAGUUUAAG